GACCGUAACAACACAAGCCUCGAAUCCAGAAUCGCGGCUUCUUCUGGCACGCCCAUUUUUUCCUCUACACAAGCUCCGAGGCCUCGGUUCAAAUGUCACAAAGCUUCGUAACGUCUGUUUCGCGCCAACCAUCCCUAGUGUUUGGUAGUUUAGCGUUAUUGUCUUAAACUUCACAAACCUACCGCGAAUGUCCAAGGGCGUUAACGGCACAGUUUUUCUUUUUGUUUGUUUUGCGUUAGCUCGCUGCUCUUAAUUUUUUUUUUUAGUUUCAUUUCAAUUUGAACAAUUUGGGACACUAAACUGUAGGUUGCACGUUGUUAUCUGGCUGCAAGCUAGCUAAGUUGCCAUUCUUUGCUAGUAAUCAAGCUAACUCAUACUGAGUGUUCAAUUGGCUUUUCCCAAUGCGUUUAGCUACUCUGAAUAUCGUCAGAAAUUAUGAAAAAAUAAGUGCCACGGUCAUAAAAACUUAAAGCGCAUAAUGUGCUUGUAUGCUCUAGUGUAGGCUAUCCUUGGUAAAACUGCAUCACUUAACUGUUGUGUGAUGGAGUGAAAUCUUUAAGGUGUUUGUUAACCAAUGUGUUUUGUCUCUCGGGUGCUGUAAGGAGUGAGGUGUCCGACUCCUUCCCUGAUAGGAGAAAAAACACCUAAACAAGAUCCAGUGACUGAGACUGGGAGAUGCAGUGACUGAGACCUGGUGUGUUCCAGAAAAAGGUCCUGAAACUACUGGUCGACAUCCGCCAUCGCCUGAAGGAAACCAGAAGGGAUCAUGAAAUUCGGUUCCACAGCCACUGAGGUGUAUGUACAUCAAGGUGAACGUGUCUGAGCACCUCAAGCACGCGUCGCAAAGACUUGGAGGUGGAGGAUUCACUACGCCCUGAUGAGCCAAGCCUACAGGACUUGAAUUAAGAGUUUUAAAGGGAUAGUUCACUUUGAAAUUAAUUUUUGAAAUAUUU